UGCCUUUAUGGAUGACAUGUUACCUUUUCCCUUGCAACUUGGUCAAUGGCCGCACGUGUGUUGUUAAGCUCGUUGUAGCAAGAUGCACGGUCAUGUUCAGCCCUGAGUUUGUAGCAAUGCGAUAAAUAUGUAUUUCAGAAAAAGCAUUUCUGCUUGUGCUUACAAACGCCGAUAUUAUAGACAAUAUUUCCUUAAUCCACAGACAGAUCCUUUUUAUUCAAUUUAUAUCCACUUUAAUAGAUCUUUAAUAGUAAAAAAUUUAAAAAUAUAAUUAAAAUGUACUUACUUAGCCUUAAGCUUGUUGAGCUGGUCGAGUUGCUCACCCAUUUCCGCAACGGCAUCGUUGUGCUUCUUGCGGAGGUUAGCGAGGGUGGACUCGUGCUGAAUGUUAGCUUCUUCCAAGUCACGACGGAGUUUGCUGAGCUCAGCCUCACGCUUCUUGUUAAGUUCAAUUUGAG